UAGCCUAACACAAUAAUUAAACUACAAAUUAUUCGCCAAAUAACUACGAAGUAAAAACUUAAAACUUAAAAGACUUGACGGUGUCUCACAACAACCUAGAGGAGCCUGUCCACUAACCGAUACUCCACGAUUAACCCAACCCUUUCUAGCCACCAGUCUAUAUACCACCGUCGCCAGCUUACCUUAUGAAAGAAACACAGUGAGCCAAACAACCUAACAUUAACACGACAGGUCGAGGUGUAACUUAUGAGGGGGAAAAGAUGGGCUACAUUUUCUAAAACAGAAAACUACGAAUAAACCAUGAAACAAGAAACUGAAGGCGGAUUUAGCAGUACAUUAAAAAUAAAAUACUUAAUAGAAACCAACGCAAUGAGACGCGUACACACCGCCCGUCAC
rnacentral:rRNA from 1 species